rnacentral:lncRNA from 1 species
GUUCUUCUUUAGAGAGAUAGAGAGAGAAAGUUAAGGAUGAGAGACUCAAGCCAACAAAUCAAGGAUUUGAAGCUUGGAUCUAGAUAGCAAUAGAUUGAGGAACACCACCUCAGCAUUUUGGUUGAAAUCCAGGUAACAAUCGACCUUCAAAUCUAUGUUUUUGAUGAAAAUGUGUUUUUUUUAAGACCGAGGUUUUCAACCCAAAGUUCAGAUUUUUACGUGUUUAUUAUGUGUAGUGGCGGACCCAAGAUUUUUUUUUUUUUAAUGGGGUCCAUUUUUUUCAGUGUCCAAAUUUUUCAUAACAAAACGUUAAAAUUUUCGGGUUGGUCCUCAUUCGGGUCGGGUCAUAGCGAGGUUUGAACUAGAUUUAAAAAAAAAGAGGAAAAACUGGUAAAGAUACGGAAUUUACCACUACAUCAGGUUUCCUUUUCCUUCUAUGGUGUCCACCUAAUUGUAUUUAUGUGGUUCUUAUACAAUUUAAUAUACUGAAUCUACUAAUUUUUUAAAAAACAUUGGAGUCCGGGGACCCCAACCCACUCUAUGUGGGUCCGCCCCUGUUUAUGAGAAUAAAAUCCUUGGAUCUUGCUUCAUAGAAGUUAGACAAACAUUAUGGAUGUAAAAGGUUAUGAUUUUGGAUUAAAAACGGACUGAAGCAGGUGAAUCUUCAAGCGGCGACACUUAAACUUCAUCCUGUGACAGUCGGGGUAUAAGUUUGGGAAUACGGCGCUAAUCUUGAGGUUUGCCAAUGAUUGGUGACAUGUGGCACCGACAACCCUUAGGAGAGUCGCCAUGAGUGUCAGUGACAAUCACAGCGACACUCCUGGCAACUGUAGUGACAAGCCCUAACACAAGUUAGGCAAUAGUGCUAGCGACCUUAUGCUAGGUAGCUUGUCAACUACGAUAGUCACUUGCAACAGUUACUCACGACACUGUUAGCAAGUAUUAAGAAAGGGAUGAGUUUUUUUUUGUGUUAACCAUGAUACAAAUCGUGUGAUGUUCAUUCUAUGCUAGAUAUCUUAGCAAGAAGUAGUUAACAACAGACAUGUGAGUUUCUAGACUACUCUUACAUUAUUGUUUUGGGCGGUGUGCAUACUCACGGUGUUUCAAAAGUGAAGUUAUGAUGUUUUCCAUAAAACUUGAUAGAAUGCGAAAUGGUUUUGCUAGAAGUAAAGUGUACAGUUUUAAAGUGAUGACGCAUAAAGUGUGAUAGUAUGCAUGUUUCACAUUAUAGGCGGUCAAAUACGGGACCGUAUGAUAGACGGAUUACAUACGUGGCCGUAUGAUUGGCAGUAACCUACGGGGUCGUAUGACAAUGGUAGUGUAUUUGUAGCUUGUACAACUACGUAUAGUAUAGAAUGCACGUAUAGUUCAUAGUAAUGUGUUAUGAUUUUAUGUGAUAUGUGAUGACAUUGCAUACGAUAGAGUUACGUGAAGUUCUUUAACUGCUUAAUGUGUUCGAUGCCUGUUAGAGCUUGUAGUUAUUCAAUUUAAACUAGAACUCACUUAGGGUAGCUGACUUUUAGUAUGUACAUCAGGUUAAUUGAUGAGUAAAGACUGGCAUGAGACAGAGAUUCCCAACAGCUGACAUCCCAUUUAUGUUAUAAUGUUUAAGGCAAUGAUUUUGAUUAAUUUGGAUUGAAAAUAUAUUUUUUUUAAUUAUAUAUGAGUUUGAGUUGGUUAUAAGCUUCCAUGAAAAGUAUAUAUGAGUUUGAGUCUCUCAUUAAAUUCUCAUAUUACCUGUCUAAUAGCUCCAUUUUAUUUUCUAUUUCGCUAUCACCUUUUCAAAGGAGAGUAAAUACCAACUUUUAUUAAGCGGCCCCAUUUCUUUCCUCGGUGUCCAAUGAAAAAUGAAGCCAUAUUCAAUUUUAUGGCCCAUUGGCCCAAACCGAAUAGCAAACUACCGUACAACCAAUGAAUAAAGGAGGUAAUAGGCAUGUAGAGGAAAAAAUACAACCAAUGAAUAAAGGAGGUAAUAGGCAUGUAGAGGAAAAAAUACAACCAAUGAAUAAAGGAGGUAAUAGGCAUGUAGAGGAAAAAAACUAAUACGAACGGACUCUUGUAUGUUUGUUCGUUUAACUUUAACCGAACAAAAGAAUGAACAUGAACACUUAAAUGAACAAUUUUUUUUUAUCAUGUUUUUUCAUUAACCAUAGGAUCAUGUAAAGUGUUCAUGUCGUUUAUGUUCUUAACAUAAACGAAUGUUAAUGAACAAACAUAAAUGAACGAAGAUAAACAAAGAAAAUAAGUGGGUUAAUGCAUGACGAGCCAAUUAGUGAAACUUGAGAUUAUUAAAAUCCAAUACCCCUUUAAAUUACUUAGAAGAUAUUUCAUAGAGUAAAUUGCCGAAACCGUCCCUAAGGUUUGAGCAUGUUUUUGCCAUUUUCAUCCAAAACAACUUUUUUUGUACUAUAUAGUCCUCCACUUUUAGGAUUUUUUUGCUAUUUUCAUCUAAACAUCUAAUUUGUUUUAUUUUUUCUAUUAAACAUUUGGAUGUAAAUGACAAAAAAUCUCAAAUCUCAGGGACAAUUUUGGCAAAAAAAAAGUUAGACGCUUGGAUGAAAGAGGCAAAAAAUCCCAAAAAUGAAGGACUAUAUAGUAAAAAAAAAGUUGUUUUGAAAAUGAAGGACUAUAUAGUACAAAAAAAAAGUUGUUUUGGAUGAAAAUGACAAACAUGCCCAAACCUUAAGGCGAUUUUGACAAUUUACUCUAUUUUUUAAGAUUAGUAUUUAAGGGGUUAAAGGUUUGUUUUGUUCUCUUCAUUGUUUUUUCGUGGUGCUUGACGUUCUUUCACUUGUCAAAGCAUGCUUCAAAUGUAUUUCUGGACAAUGUUUGUACUUAUUUUGGUAUCUCAAGUUACAUGUAUUAGGUAAAGUUAUUGUACACAACUCUUCACACACAAAAUAUCCUUAAUGUAAAAAAUGGAGGAUUUUUUUUUUUCUGAAAACUUUCCCUAUGUAUUAAACACGUAUUUUAGUC